AGUAUAAUAAGAUCAAGUCUGCACUCUACUUAGUAACUGUUUUAAUGUUUUUAAUAAAUAUAACUGAAUACACUCUGACAUAGAGGGACACACUUUGACUGUUUAAAGUUACAGUACUAGGACAAGCAAAACAAAGACAAGCUCGAGGUUUUCAACCACCGAUGCAAUUAGCAAACAUGUUGAAAUAGAGAUAAUGGUAACUGCAGAUGCUGGAGAAUCCGAGAUAACAAAGUGUGGAGCUGGAUGAACACAGCAGGCGAAGUAGCAUCUUAGGACUAAGAAAGCUGACGUUUUGGGCCUAGACCCUUCAAACUAUGGUACAAAACCGGAAAUAACACUGCCCACCUUAACAGCCGGACUGUAUAAAUUCAGAGCGGACAGAACAACCGCACAUCUGUGGAGACUAUACAGCACUGAUGAUGUCAUUAAGAAGGGAGAUGAAACGUUAACAUGAAAACCAGUCAGCUUGGCGAACCAACCAAAAACUCCAACAUAAUUACAUCAGGACGUGAAACUGAAGACGGAAUUUUAAUUGUUCACCUAUCAGCUAACAAGGUGGCUGACUCGUGGAAGAGUGGCAGUGAAAAAUGUAUUACCAGAAUUGGACAAAAAACAAAGUCAUCAUUCACUGAACAUACUUUCGUUAGAGCCCUUCCUUAAAGGCAAAGUUCCCAUAAACCAGGUCAGGAAGACACCUGUUCCAGCUGAGAAGUGACAAAGAUCAGUGCAUGCUGAGAAUGAAGCCACACUGUUGGCUGAGUGAACUUGCUUACCUGAUGGGGAGAAACUGGUGAGAUGCAUGAAUUGAUGUACAUGUAUACAGAUGAAUAUUUGGCAACCUGAAAACAUCAGCUUUCUGUCUGCGGUUAAAGCAAAACAUCACACCGAUGCACAUCUCAAACAAGUUAAUGGAGCUUUGAGCGUAAGGACUCCAAACUAAGAAUACCUAGGAUAUUAGGAACAAAACAGAAG